UACGUAGGGUGCAAGCGUUAAUCGGAAUUACUGGGCGUAAAGCGUGCGCAGGCGGUGAUGUAAGACAGAUGUGAAAUCCCCGGGCUCAACUUGGGAACUGCAUUUGUGACUGCAUCGCUGGAGUGCGGCAGAGGGGGAUGGAAUUCCGCGUGUAGCAGUGAAAUGCGUAGAUAUGCGGAGGAACACCGAUGGCGAAGGCAAUCCCCUGGGCCUGCACUGACGCUCAUGCACGAAAGCGUGGGGAGCAAACGGG
rnacentral:rRNA from 1 species